GUGAUAGUGAAUAAGUCUCAUGAGAUCUGAGUUUCCCUGCAGUCUCUCUUUGCCUGCUGCCAUCCACGUAAGAUGUGACUUGCUCCUCCUUGCCUUCUUCCAUGAUUGUGAGGCCUCCCCAGCCAUGUGGAACUGUAAGUCCAAUUAAACCUCUUUCUUUUGUAAAUUGCCCAGUCUUGGGUAUGUCUUUAUCAGCAGCAUGAAAACGGAAUACACACCAUGUAUAAGGAACCUGGAUGCAGUAAGUGCUCAACAAACAGUAGUUAUUGCAAUAGGAGCUGAUGUGGCUACUAUUCCCAACUUCUGCAGGGGUUGAAAUGUCUUAGCUAAACAAGGGGAUUCUUUUAAGCUAGUUAAUUGGCUAUUUAAAACAUUUUCAAAAUUGGCCAGUAAAAAAAUUAAUCUCUAGUUAAUUAUCAGCUCCUAUUUUUCUGUUUUCUACCUGGCAAUUUUUGCAAAACACCCUCCUCUCUCCUGCUUCACUCUAUGAUAUGCUACAGUUGAUCCAGGUUGCUUUAUCUCCCAUUUCACAUUUUUGUAAAUGUGAUUAUUUAACUGUGUAAAGUGUUAUGGGAUAUGUUUGGAAUGAAAGUCACUUUUCAAAUAGAAAUGAAGUUGGCAUAUAUUGCAUUUAAAUCUCUAGUGGGGAGCCGUAGGGGGAUGAGAGAGAAGUACACUCAGAUAUACUUGGGUUUGGGCUUAGAGAAAUCUUCUCUCCUCUUUCCUGGCUGGCCAAGAUAAUAUUACUAACAGAAAUCUCCUUGGGAAGGAAAAAGUCCUUUGAUGCUUAUGAUGCAAAUUGAAAAUGCAGAGGGAAAUGAGAGCUGAGCUCCUGGGCUUUCCCACUCUGCUCCUCCCCAGAACUGUGAAAAAGACAAACACAUACUUUUGCAAGUUCUAUUGCCACAUCUGAAAAGACAAGAAGAAUUUUGUGUUGGUGGUGGAAAGAGUGACAGGGAUGAGCCAGUCCCUAGUGUACAGGCAGAUGUGGGGCUGGGGCAAGGAAACUGAUAGAUUUGAAAAAUGAAGCAAGAGUGAAGAUCCUUUUAAUCAAAGAAACCAACAGAGGCAUGGAAUUGUAACUGACCACCAACCUGUUGGAUAUCAACUCUUGGCAAGAGGGGGCAGACUGGGCAGCUGGACAUGGUUUGGGAACCCUAGUUACAGGGGUGAAGGGUUUUGCUCACUUCUCUCCACCAGGACACCAAGGCAGCUGCCAGAGCACAUGGUGCCCAUGAGGAAAUGAGAAAAUAGGCAUCUGCCCCACACCCCAGGGCAGAAAUAGGGGCACCCAGCUGGACUGACGUCCCCUUGUGAGCUAUGGAUGCAGACCUGGAUCCACCAUGCGUGCCAUGCAGGGCCAUGUGCCCCAGGCCCCCUUCAAGGAAGGACUGCCCAACUGUGGGAGUGUCCUUCAAAAGGUCACCCCUUCCUGGGGCUGCCGGGCACAGACUGGGGCAGGCUGGGCCCGAAGGCUGGGCUGGGAGGGCAGGAUCAGCUGCCGGCUGAGCCUCUUGCCAGCUGGCCUCAGCCACCCACCCCCCGGCCCUCUUGCUAUUCCUGCUUCUCCCGUCCACUUCCUUUGACAGCUGUUGGUCCCUAAUAAUAUGUCAGGCCCCAAAUUCCACUUCAGCAGCUGCUUUUGAAGAGCCCGAUGACGACUCCACGUUCUCCCUCUCAGUCCAGCUGAGAGGGACAGACAUCAAUGCAGGGAUCAAAGAAGUAAAUUAAAUAUUGCAGCUGAAAUCCCUGCUAAAAGAGGGAGCUGCCCCAACCCAUGAGAGGAUGUCAGGGCAGGGUGGGGCCCCGGGCAGCAAGUCAGGAAGGGGUGUUCCUCCAGGAUGAGCUCCUAGGAUCCGGGGGGAUGGUGGGGUUGCCUGGGUGAGGAGAAGGCACAGGUGCAGGCUCUCGGGGAGGCUUUGGGGAGGAGAGGGAAGGCUGGCAUGGGGGUAGGGGGCAGGAAAGUUUAUGUCAUGGAGCUGGGGAGUUGCCAGGGUGGACCACUGUGCAGAGACGCUUGGGCAAGAGCAAAGGUUUUGGUCAUUAUCCUAAGAUUGACGUGUUUUAAACCUGGGGUGGUCGGAUCAGAUUUGCAUUGUAAAAAGGUCAUUCAGCCCUCUGGGAAGUAGCACAGAGGCCGUGUGGUGCUGAAAGGGGUGUUUUGGACUAUUUGGGCCACAAGGAGCCCCAGUCCUUCCUGGAGAAGAAAGAGCCAUCUGAGGAGGGUGUGCAGCAGAGGGAGGGGUUACAGCCAAGAGCUUUUCUGCGUCCCCACUGCCUGGGUUGGGGGCAGCCUUCCAGCCCCCGGGGUGAGUGUUUCACAGAAGAGCUCAGCUAUCAGGCUUCUGCCCAAAGAGAGUCCAUGAGGGAAUAUUCACCAGAGUUUGUGAGUGCCAGGGGCAAAGCAGUGUGCUGUCAUUGAUUUUUCCAAACCUGGGGGCCUUCCGAGGCCCAGAGGCACCAGCAGAGUACAGACGAGUGGAGGCAAAUGCAGAUGCAGUCACCAUAGCCCCAGGUGCCGGUGUUCCCCAGUGGCUUAUUAGAAGGAUUCAUCAGGCAGAUGGAAACUGGGGGAGCAGAGAAGGGGAAGGACGGAGGGCAGUUGCAUUUGGAGCUCUGGGUUCCAGAGUCUGAGGGUCAAAGCAGACUAGGCUCUUUCUGGAAAAAUACAGAAGUGACCGGCAAGGGGAAAAUGGAAAACAGCAUUGUGCAUUGCAGGGCCUGUCGACCAGGGUACACAGGAAACAACAGGUGGCUUCCACAGGCUGCACCUCCAGGCCAACCCAUUUGCAAGCUCAUGACAAUGGACUAUCAUGGCUCCCAUUUUCCAGGAGGGGAAAUGAUGGAGAGGAAGACCAGGAAAGCUGUUUGACACCUACACAAUGAGGAGCAAGAAAUUCAGACCUUCCUCCUCCUGAGGCCCCAUUUCCUUCCCUCUGGGGUUGUUGUGAAGAUGGGAUUCGAUCAUGAAUAUAACAUUCACUGCCGUGAGUGGAACAGUUAUUGAAAUUGUCUACCAGUAGCUUUAACUAGCAGCAUUAAUACUACUAUUAAUCACGGAAGCCAGCCUUUAUUAAGCACUUACUGUAUUCCAGGCACUGUUCUGAGUGCUUUCCAGAGAGUAAUGCAUUUCACCCUCACCACUCUGGAAGGGAGGUGCAAUAAUUAUCCUUGUCUCAUAGAUGAGGAAACUGAGACACACAGGGGAGAAGUCACUUUCCCAGAGUCACAUAGCCGCCAGACCACAGAGCCAAGCCAGCCUGACCCAGCACGUGCUGCAGAAGCUGCUGCUGGAUUUUGUCUGCACAAAAGCCCCAUGGGCAGAUAGGAUUCAUCUUACUUCGUGCCUCAGUGGCUGAAUCUAUAAAACGAAACUGAAUGACUUGGCCAAAGUCACCCCAGCUCAGAGGUGGCAGAGAUAGGAUGGGAAUCCAGGCCUUGACUCCUCCUGCAGUGCCCAACCCCCACCACACAUGACUUCUCUCACACCUUGUACACUGCAGGUAUUUGGCCAGUACCUGGGAGACAUUUCUGAUUUUUUUUCCACGGCAUGUCCAUUUUGAUCACAUUUUCUUCUACAUGUGGGAACAAAACUAGACACAACUUUGCUGAAAGUCUGAGCUAGCCUUACUUUUACCUGCAGCUGAGAAAGUUAGCUUCUUCCCUCACCAAGGCUAAAAGGGCAAGAGAUGACACACCCAGCAAGAAAACCGAAAAUAACAAAAUCAGUCAAUGUGGAACAAACAUUACUCCCCGGCAACUGGGGCCAGGUAUUUAUGCUGCGAUGAGACAAAGGCAGACUCUUUCUCCUUAGAUUUUAGCACUUGCUUCCAAAACAGCAGAGGGCCCUGCAGGGGAACCAGCGGAGGAUGGAUGGCAUCUGGCAUUGAUUGGUAGCCAGGCUGAAUAAUACAUCAAGGGUCUGUGACUUCAUCACAAAAGCCUGGCGGGCUGGCCUCCUGCAAACCAGACUCCCCAGGGACUGGGCCUCACCAGGUGUCUUCAAUUAGAAAUACAGUGGGAGCAAUGCUUCUGAACCGAUUCUGAAAGGCAGGCUCCCGGGCUGAGAGACGGAGUGAAGGGACAUGCUCAAGGUUCCUUCCCCUCCAUGCCUCAUAGUGGGCCCUGCCCUGGGGAUAAGCCUCCUACAGCCCCUCGUGAGCUCCAUCCACUGCCAAAGAUGAGUCAAAUAGCAAGAUAAGGCUGCCUCCUUUUUUUUUUUUUUUUUGAGACAGAGUCUUGCUCUGUCGCCCAGGCUGGAGUGGAGUGGUGCAAUCUCGGCUCACUGCAAGCCCCGCCUCCCGGGUUCAUGCCAUUCUCCUGCCUCAGCCUCCCAAAUAGCUGGGACUACAGGCGCCAGCCAACACGCCUGGCUUUUUUUUUUUUUUGUAUUUUUAGUAGAGACGGGGUUUCACCAUGUUAGCCGGGAUGGUCUCCAUCUCCUGACCUCAUGAUCCACUCGCCUCAGCCUCCCAAAGUGCUGGGAUUACAGGCGUGAGCCACCGCGCCUGGCUAAUUUUUUUUUUUUUUUUGUAUUUUCAGUAGAGAUGGGGUUUCACCGUGUUAGCCAGGAUGGUCUCGAUCUCCAAGAUAAGGCUGCCUCCUAAGCCUCGCAUCUGUUGUCUGUAAGAGAGCCACGGCUGUGCAGGAAGGAGGGAUGAGGCGGUGGAGUCCUGGGUGUCAGGUCCUGUACUACAGGCCGAGCACAGGGAGAGGAGCAAGCUUUCCUCCUUCCCCUCCUUUCUUUCUCCCUUGAACAUUUGCUGAAGUGUCACCUAUGUUCCAGAUGUUGUGCUAGGAAGCAAAAUACAGCACCAAACAAGAUAAGCAUGGUCACUGCCCUGCUCCCAAGGAAGGAUGCUUUGGAAGGCCUUUCACUGAAUAUCUGUCCUCACCUACUCUGUGCCACUCACAGGCUUGGUUGAGGAUCAAACUCUUUUUGCAGAAGAGGAAAGGGAGACUCCAAGAGGGGCAAUGCUCUGUCCCUAGAUCUGUGACCUUGGGCAAGUGGUAGUUUGGACUGAGCAUUCCUAAGCUAUAUCCAGGGCACCCCAUGCUUCCUGGCCUCAUGUUUAGCUCCUUGUGAGAGGGUCAGGUCGCCCACUAGCAGAUGAACUCCUUGCUCAUCCUUGUGUUCCAAGCAGAAACUAACACAAAACCAGACAACCUGGAAUGAAGACAAGAAACCCUUGGCCUGCUGGGUCAUGAAGCUAUUUCUGGCUGCUGUCCAUGGUACUGGCAAGAAGCAUGAAGCCUGCCAAUGUCAGGUGGUUAGAGCCCUCUUGGGAAGCUAAAAGAUUCUUAUCGUCCAAUUCAUGCUUUUCACAGCCUCCUUGGUUUUUCACUGGGUCUUUCCAACAAGUCUUACCUGUCUCCUCUCUCAACUCCCGGUGAGCUUUUCUGUUGGCCAGUGGAUGCCUUGUAUUAGAUGUUUGUCUUUUUUUUUUUUUUCUGGUCUCCUGUUAUUUUCCCAAGUCAUUCUUAACCUUGGAAGCAGAGAACACUCACAACCAGCUGUACUUGGUGUUGCAUAUUAAAUAAUCUUUGUUUUGAUUCAUGUGUUAAAGUCCUUUAUCCAUUCUCUUGCAUUACAGAGACCCCAGUCUUAACACAUAUUUCUUACAUCAUGUUUCCCAAAUGUCAGUCACCCACAUACCUCCCAC
rnacentral:lncRNA from 1 species